GACGAACGCUGGCGGCGUGCUUAACACAUGCAAGUCGAACGGUGAAGCGCCUUCCUUUUUGGUUGGUGUGGAUGAGUGGCGAACGGGUGAGUAACACGUACGUAACCUGCCCUCUUCUUCUGGAUAACCGCAUGAAAGUGUGGCUAAUACCGGAUAUUCUGGUUCUGUCGCAUGAUGGGUCUGGGAAAGAUUUUGUUUCGGUGGGGGCUGGGCUCGCGGCCUAUCAGCUUGUUGGUGGGGUGAUGGCCUACCAAGGCUGUGACGGGUAGCCGGCCUGAGAGGGUGGACGGUCACAGUGGGAGUGAGACACGGACGAGACUGCUACGGGAGGCAGCAGUGGGGAAUAGUGAACAGUGGGAGCAAGGCUGAUGCAGCGACGCCGCGUGAGAGAUGGAGGCCUUCGGGUUGUGAACCUCUUUCGGCAGUGAAGCAGGGCUGCCUCGUUUGUGGCUGGGUUGACGGUAGUUGGAUAAGAAGCGCCGGCUAACUACGUG
rnacentral:rRNA from 1 species